rnacentral:rRNA from 1 species
GCUCAAAUUUGAAAUCUGACGCUGAAUUAUUCCGGCGUUCGAGUUGUAAUUUGGAGGAACAUCUUCGGGGGCGGGCGCUGUUCUAAGUACUUUUGGAAUUGGACGUCAUAGAGGGUGAGAAUCCCGUGCCAGGACGGCUGACCCGUGUCCAUGUGAAGUGUUUCCGACGAGUCGAGUUGUUUGGGAAUGCAGCUCAAAAUGGGUGGUAAAUUUCAUCUAAAGCUAAAUACAGGCGAGAGACCGAUAGCGCACAAGUAGAGUGAUCGAAAGAUGAAAAGCACUUUGAAAAGAGAGUUAAACAGUACGUGAAAUUGUUGAAAGGGAAGCGCUUGAGAUCAAACCUUGGCGGUUGUGGUGAUCCCCGGUGGAAGGGUGUCAAAGCUCUUUCAACGGUUGUCAUUGCUGCAGGCCAGGCCAGCAUCGGUUCUGACGGUGGGAAAAAGGGAUCAGGGAAUGUGGCUCUUCGGUUUCGAGGAGUGUUAUAGCCCAGAGCUCUAUAUGCCACCAGUUUGGGACCGAGGAUCGCGCAGAUUUUUUCUGCUAGGAUGGUGGCAUAAUGGUUUUAAGCGACCCGUCUUG